rnacentral:misc_RNA from 1 species
GUUGAGUUCUGACUCUCAAACUGUAAACACUGCUGGGCCGGACUGUCAUAUUUGUUUACUACGACUUUAUGUUUCUUGAAUUAUUGCAUCGCUUCAGCUCUCUCAGCAAUCAAUUCCAAAAAAGUGCCAUAAAUAAAAAAGGAAAAAGAUGUUCAAGACAAAACAGAAUAUGAUUGUAUUCACCGUCCUGGUACUAGGACUAGGACCAGUUUUUUCCGCUCCAACCCAGGACGGAGCGGGACACCAGGACGGAGAAGGACAUCAGGACCUCAUGGGAGCUAUGAUGUAUCUAAUGAAAUAUGGAUAUAUGAGAGCUCCAAGUCCUCAAGCUAAAUCAGCAAAUCUGCUUUCACAGGAUGGUUUGAAGAGUUAUAUAAUGGAGUUCCAAAGUUUUGCUGGUUUACCUCUGACCGGAGAACUAGAUAAUCAAACCAUAUCUCUCAUGGCGACUCCCAGAUGUGGAGUUAAAGAUAUAGUUGGAGCAGGAGCUACUGCCAGGAAGAAAAGAUAUGCUUUACAGGGUUCCAGAUGGAAAACUCGGGAACUGUCCUAUAAAAUAUCAAAAUAUCCUACUGCAUCUCUUCUAAAAAAAAGUGAAGUGGAUUCUGAGAUAAAGAAAGCUCUUGAAAUCUGGGGAACUGUGACAGAUCUGACCUUUAUACAAAAACAAUCUGGAAAAGUACAUAUUGAUAUCAGGUUUGAGAAAGGAGAACAUGGUGAUGGAGAUCCCUUUGAUGGACCUGGAGGAACCCUUGCUCAUGCUUACUUUCCAGUUUAUGGAGGAGAUGCUCAUUUUGAUAACUCAGAGUCAUGGACUAUCAAUAGUUACAGGGGAACCAAUCUACUACAAACUGCAGCUCAUGAGUUCGGGCACAGUUUAGGACUCUCACACUCAGACGAAUACAAGGCUUUAAUGGCACCUUUCUACAGGGGAUACCAGGAGAAGCUUGAGCUGGAUAUUGAUGAUAAAAAGGCAAUCCAAGCAAUCUACGGGGAAAAACUUAAAGAUCCCGAGCAAACUGUUCCUAACGUUCCUGUAACCAACAGACCUAUAUUGAGUAAACCUGGAGGGGGGCGGGAUAUUUGCUCCGAACCAACCCUGGAUUCUAUUCUUACCAUCGGAGAAACUACAUUUGCUUUCAAAGGAGACUCCUAUUGGAAGCUAACAGAUGACUCCAUAGCUCCUGGAUACCCUAGACUUGUUUCUCAAGACUGGACUGGACUUCCAGAUAAUAUUGAUGCUGCUUUUACAUGGGAAAACGGAAAAACAUAUUUCUUCAAAGGAUCUAAAUACUGGAGGUAUAGCUUUGACGAAAUGGAACCCGGGUACCCUAAGGAGAUAAGUAAAGGGUUUGAAGGAAUACCAAACAAUGUUGACGCGGCAUUUGUUUGGUCAGGGAACGGGAAAAUAUACUUUUUCAAGGGAUCUCAAUACUGGAGGUUUGAUCCAGACAGUCGACCUCCGGUCAAACCAUCCUAUCCAAGACCUAUCUCCAACUGGGAGGGUAUCCCGGAUAAUCUAGAUGAUGCUCUGCAGUACAGUAAUGGAUACACUUAUUUCUUCAAGGCUGGAGAAUAUUACCGGUUUGAUGACCGCUCCUUUAAGGUUGAUACUGCUGAUCCCCCAUUCCCACGUCCAGUUGGAUAUUGGUGGUUCGGAUGCCCUUCCUCUCUUACUAAAGCUGGUAUUAGGUCGACCUGAACAGUUUGACGCUGUCCAUGGUAACUAUGGUUUGAAUGAGGUAGAUUCUAGCUCUCUAGAUGCAGAGAGGUUUAAUGAUGUCU